GCCACAGCAGCCUGGAGCCGAUGGGACACACAUGGCAAAGCUCAGCCUGGGGCUGCUGUGGCUCAAUGCUUGUGCCAAUAGAGCAAGCGUAGAACACACCUAUGGAAGGAGCAGUGAAUCCACUUGGUUGAAACCCUCCCUUUCCCUCUUUGGAACUGAGGAACAUAUACAGACAUUCAUUUCAAAACUGAAAAGCCCUUUUGAAAGACAAAGCCACCUGUACCACCAGCACUGCACGGACCUAUCAGGGAUGCUACAAGGGUUUUCCUGGGCAGCAAAUACACAACCUUCCCCCCAAAGAAAGAAAAGAAAGGAUUGCAGACAAGGAUAGGAGGGAGACUGUUUAUGUAAGAGCACAUGGAUUAAUUGCAGCAGGCCUUGGUUUUAAACAAUAUUUAGUCUCAGACACUUUGCUCUCCCUAUUCCCAUACCUGCUGCUGCCAGUUGGGGUGGGGGAGAUGUGGGUGUUUGGUGGGUGAAAUGUCUGUGAUUUCCCCUACUUUAUCUCCUGACACCUGCAAGCGAUAUUUACCCUUUCCCAUUAGCUAUUACUGUCCUGCAAAAUGAUGCAAUUAAAGGCUUUGAUC